rnacentral:rRNA from 1 species
AUUGAACGCUGGCGGCAUGCCUUACACAUGCAAGUCGAACGGUAACAGGUCUUCGGAUGCUGACGAGUGGCGAACGGGUGAGUAAUACAUCGGAACGUGCCUAGUAGUGGGGGAUAACUACUCGAAAGAGUGGCUAAUACCGCAUGAGAUCUACGGAUGAAAGCAGGGGAUCGCAAGACCUUGUGCUACUAGAGCGGCCGAUGGCAGAUUAGGUAGUUGGUGGGAUAAAAGCUUACCAAGCCGACGAUCUGUAGCUGGUCUGAGAGGACGAUCAGCCAAACUGGGACUGAGACACAGGCCAGACUCCUACGGGAGGCAGCAGUGGGGAAUUUUGGACAAUGGGCGCAAGCCUGAUCCAGCAAUGCCGCGUGCAGGAUGAAGGCCUUCGGGUUGUAAACUGCUUUUGUACGGAACGAAAAGCCCUGGGUUAAUACCCUGGGGUCAUGACGGUACCGUAAGAAUAAGCACCGGCUAACUACGUGCCAGCCGCCGCCGUAA